ensembl:lincRNA
GCUCCCGCUCCGCUGGCGGCCGGGGAAGUUCCCACCAAAGGAGUCAGGCCGCUUUGUGUGUGCUUUCGGGGCCACCGGCCCUGGUUCUCCUCCUCCCUCCCCGCUCUCCCUGCGCCUUCGCCCCAGACAAUCAGGCUUGCCGGAGGACGCCCCCUGGGGACCCCGAGGGCGGGGUCGUUGAACGGCCGCCAGGUUCUCACAUUCAGAAUUCUCCUGCCACCAAAGAGAACCUGAAGUUCAUUUAUAAGUUGACGAGCGGGAUACCUACACUGUGUCCCUUUGCAAGACGCCAGUUAGAAAAUAACCCAAGUUGUGACCAGGAUCCACCGUUCCUGUCUCCAACUGAAACGGGGCAGUAA